CUCCUCAGAUCCAACCUGAACUGGCUGUCAGUGAAAUAUCCUCCACCUCUCUCUUCUAGUACAGCCCGGGUUAGACUCUAUCAGGUAGGAGACUGCUCCCCACGAUCAAACUCAUUACGUUUGUGCUCUCAGUAUAUUUUUGAACUUAGACCAGACAAUAGCAUCUAUCCCUUCAGCGUCCCUCCUCCUGGCAUUUUUAGCCAAGGUAGUAAUAACAGCGACAAAACUGUAUUUAGAAGCUCUCUAGCAUAUUUCAUCUUCCGAGAGUCUUGCAGAUGUUAACUAAUUAAUCUUCACAGCACUCCAUACAAGAGAGGUAAAUAUUAUUAACCAUGAUGGAAGAUACAUAUGUAUAUGCUAAGGACAGCAAAAUAGUUCACUUAUUUAUCAUGGUUCACUUGAUACAGUAACUGGUAUUUUUAAAACACCCAUCAUAGAUACAAUAAUUAGAGAUGUGCUUUUGUUAACAAAGCCACUACCCACUUCUAGCGUACCCUUGGGUACUAAAUAAUUACCCACUUUGUGUGGUUAUCUAGCUCACUAAUUACCCACAGAAAUUGGGGUCAGGUGUUAACUGCUUGAAAUAAGUAUCCUCCAAAGACAUCGCUGAGUUGUAUAGAGAAAAUGAUGUGUUCAUAGCAAAACUUUUAUAAGCUAUAUAUUUGUAUAUCUUCGUAAGCAGAGUGAGUACAGACACGAGCAAAUUAGCUUAGUAUGUGAAAAGCAUGCUGAACUGUUGUUGCCAAUGUAGAGAGGUUUAAGAGAGUCUCAGAAAAUCUCGCUCUCUGUUUACCUUUUCAUUUUUGAAAAUGGGUGCAGUGACAUGAUCCCUAUAAUCUGGCCUUCAUAUCCAAGUGCACUGAGACAAUUGAUUAUUCUGGUUAGGAAUGAUUCAUUUUGGUGGUAUAGGGAGGCACCCAGUGAUUCAAAGAUUUUUUUUUUUUUGACAGCUCCACCCUUUAUGAUUAUUCUAGCAUGUUUCUUUUUUUCUUCAUCAGCCUAGUGAAAACACUCUGUUAGCCAAAUCUGAAAAAGAUUCUAACCCAGUCACCAACUCCUGGCAACCACCUCUUUCCCCUUCCCAGUAAUGACAAAAAGAAGAAAAAAAAAAAACUAUUAAAAGAAAUCCAACACUCUGACUGAGGGUCAUUCUCUUCGCCUGUUUUUGUUCUCCUCCCCUCCCUCUCCUCUCCCUUCUUCCUCUCUGUAUCUUCUUCCCAUUUGUGCUUUUCCUGUUCCUUUUCCUUGGCAUCCAGUCAUGCUUGUGCAGGUCUCACAGUCAGAGACAAAGCACUAUGUAUGUCUGAAGUGAACACAAAGCAGCUACCUUUUAAAAACAUUGACUUGGAGAAAACCUACAUCCUCAGAUACCUUUCUCUCCUUCCUAGCUAGUUACGGAAUGUGGAAUCAUAUUUAAUACAGCACUGCCUGUUGUCUGCAUGAUUCUAGCCUGGGAAAUUGGGUUAAGAUGGCAAUAUAUGCACUGUAUGUAUAUAUAGGUAAAGAUCCUAAUUUUGGGGGGGGGAUACCUGCUUUAAAGGAUCAUCACAUAGCAUGAUUUUUAAAAUGGGUUCCCACCGAAACGAAGCGAGAUGCUCCCUCAGUCAACUCAAGGUGGCUUUCUUUUUUCUUGUGCCUCUUUUUUCAUCAUCUGAAAUAUCACUUAUCAUUAACGAGGGACUUUUGGCUGAUCAAUGAAAUGUAGAUGUAUCUGUCGGACAUUUGGGGAGAAAAAUCCUUCAGGAAUAAGAAAAAAAAAUAACCUUUUGCAGUUGGAAGCAUAGGGUUAGGAUGAGCUUCAGUGACUGAUGAGUUCACUUCAAAAUCCAAGGGAAUGUAGAUGGUAAGUUAGUACAUAUUGCAAAAAUAGUCGACGAGCAAAACCACGCCACUGGAGGUAAAGAUUUUUAGCAUUGCAGUCAUAGCAUGCCUGAGUAGAGUGUCCACGGAUCUUAAAUAUAAAUUUGAAUUAUUGCUCUUUUUUUCCCUCUAAGUGCCGAUUUCAAAGAAAUGUUUGGGCAUUGUUGACUUUCUGUUCAUAAAGAAAACCCACCAAGAUUCGCAAAAUGCAUCACCUGCACUCAUACACGCAUGUGUGUUUUAAAUUCCCCUAGGAUGCGGAAUCAUUAGGCAGAGAACUGCGCUGUGUUCUCUCUUCUUUACUUCUUUCCCCCUUGUUUUUCUUUUUAGAAAACGUGAUACCUGAUCUCUGGGUCUAGCAGGCUGAGGAUUUUUUUUUUUUUUUUGUAUGUGUAUAAUACAAUGUCUGGCCUUCCCCCUGACCCGCUGGUGUAUUUUUGGUCUCAUUAGUAGUCAGGGAGAUGCCUUACUGCAUCCUGCGAGUCAGGGAUGAGACACACUACAACAGAGAGAGGGAGCAAGCGCGAGAGGAUCUUAGAAGAGAGGCUUGUCUCAAGCUUUGUAUGUGGGAGCCUGGCUGGGCGGGGGAGCAGCCAGGAGAGCCAAGUGGAUUCUCAGAAAAGGGGUGUGGGGGGGAAGCCAUCGAGGAGCUAAAGGUGAUUAGAGGGGGAUAUUGAUUCUUUAUUCUGCCAGAGAUUUAAGCAGGCAUGCAAGGAAUCUGCACCAUGGUUGGCAAAAGGAGACCCGUUGCCUCCUGUAACCAGACACUCGGGCUUUCCAGGAGCCCAGGGAGAGAGCCGAGAAGAAAGGGGGCAGUAUGGUCUAGGAAAAUCCAACUUGUCGCUGAUUUGUGCCCGAUGCUCGCUGUCCGUCAGCAGCCUCCCUUACAAUCUUUUUUCUCUCUCUCCCUUUUUUUCCCUUGCCUUCUCCUUCUUCACUGAAGCCUAGGGGAGCCAGUAAAGAUUAAAUGUGCUUUCUCAAAGGCAGCCACUUCAUGCUGCUAUGUCGAAAGGGCCAUUAUUAUUAUUAUUUUUUAAUAGUAAAAGAAAAAGGGAGAGUGGUUGAGAGAGAAAGAGAGAGAGCAGCUAGGUGUGAUGAUGACGGACUGGCUUUUCUGAGAGGAAAAGGAAAAGGGAAGGGAGAGAGAAAGGAGAGACCCUGAGCUGCACGGAGGAUUGUGCCCAAGAAGAACCUUCAGAGCAUAAACUACAGAGUUACAGUCUCUAGAUUUGGUGUAUCGCUUCCUGCCCCCGCCUCCCCUCCCCACCCCCGUUCUCCGUCCUCUAUUGAAACACCUCGCCCAGCCUCGCGCUCUGGAGCUCACAUUCCCCCGCGCUCCGCACGGUGCGACAGGCUGCGCUGCUGCCCGGCUCCGCUUCGGAUGGUUGUGUUGAUGUUCCUUUCAGCUGGUCCUAUAGCCCCCCAUCCUCAGGAAUGUCUCCCCAGUGAAAGGACAAAGACUGCAGAGACUUCUAUAUUGAUGGACCCUCAAGCCAACUAUGAAGUUGAAACAAAGAAAAUGGUCACCUGAAGACACCUGUCCUGCUAACCAACACACCCAAAUGGUGCAGUUUCAGCCAAUAGAACUCUCAGAACAAGAGACAGUCUUUUCAAGAAACAGGAAAACUCAAUAAUGACAUUUAGAUUUUUAAUGAACCAAAACUUUCCCUUCCUCAUGUGUAUUCCUCUGUUUGUAUUUAAAUUCAUGUGACAUUUAUUUUUUUUUUCCCCUAGCAUGGGUAUGCUUAUUAAUGCACUAGUUUUAAAAUCCAAAAUGGCGCAAAUGUGUUACUAUUUUAAGCAACAAAAUUAAUGAUAUAAAGAGAAUUACUUUUAGCCACACACACAGUUUGAUCUUAAGAGUGACCUAGAGAAUAAAAGCUACCUUUAAAACAGCAAAGUAGUCAGAGGCAAUUCAAAGGAUAAAAUAAUGGGAGAGACUCAUACUGCAGCCUAGAAAUACCAUGUUAUCCCACCUGACACCAACAAAUCAACCAUUAUUUUUAUCAGGCAAGCUAGGUUCCAAGAGCCAAGGUGGCUGCUGCUAAAGAGCUUAAAUCUAGUUAGACAAAGUUACGUAAACUUUUGAAAACAUACGUAACGGAUAGGGCCAGUAGAGCACAAGAGCAAAACCAAAGCAAAAAUGAGCUCAGAGGAGGUUGCCAUAAAGUGAGCAAAACUGGCUUGUUUAGGGAAGAAACUUCCUAAAAGAAGAAAAUAUAGGAUGAAUAUUGAAGGAUCUCAAAGACUUAGAUAAAAUGGAAGAGAAGGAGAACAUGGACGCAUUUAGGUAGAUGUGAUAUUGUGAGCAAAGCCAGGGAGGAGGAAAUGAAUAGGCACCUCCUGUUGACUUCAUCCCAGUAGUUCACUAGCUCUCUCUGUAUAUCUCAUAAAGACUUUGCACACACAACACUCCUCUCCUGCCCCAGGUGCUCCCUAGAAUUAUAAUCAUAUUUGCUUGUUAUUCAAGCAAGUGAGGGUGAUUGGUGAUAAUAUGGAAAACUGUGAUUUUUCUGUUAACCUCAUAAUAAUUGGUAUCUAUUGAGUUGUCCUUAUGUGUUAAGCAUUUUACAUAUUAACUCACUUAAGCCUCACAACAACCAUGCAAAAUAAUUACUAUUAUCCCCAUUUUACAGGCAAGAAAACUGAGGCUUAAGUAACUCGUCAAAGUACCAAAUACAGCAUUCGCAUUCAGGAUUGUGAUUACAAAGCUCAUGACCUAAAGCACUACAUAACAAUAUUGUAUAUCAAUGUUAUAAUUAUUACUACUUUUUAAAUAUUCCAUGAUAUUUUUCUAUGAUAAACAGAUAUUUCAUUUAAUAAUCACCUCAAACUUUUCAGUUUGCUGGAUAAAUUACACCAGAAUGAUGGAAUGUGUUUUCAUAAUAAAUUUUUUUUUUAAAUGAGUGCUAGAGCUUAUUGGCAUUUUAGACUUUUUUUUUUUUUUGUGCCAGCCUUUGAUGAGAUUGUUCUCUUUGGUUCUGCAUGAAAUCUCAAAUUCUUAAGAAUAAAAAAAGGAGGAGGCAUAAGUCACUGGUUGCAAUGUCUUUUACAGAUGACAUAAGUCUAUAGUCCAUACAGUUAGAGUCACUUUUUGGGUGUGGCAGAGUAAAGACCAGAAACCAGGCCCUUCAGUUCACUCUCAGUGGCUACUGAGCUACUCCACCGCUGCUGAAUGAAGUAGGAACUUGAAUUUGGUCAGUGGAAACGAUCUGUCCAGGUGGUAAUCGGGGGUCAUUGUGCCUAGCAGAUUGCUUCAUUUCUACCCUUCUUUGGCUUCCCACCGCAGUGUUAAAAAUAGCUAGCUAUAAACUAACGUCUUUAAGUCCAGAAACUGUCAAAGAACACAUAAUGUGCUAAGUUUGAUGUGUACAAUGUCUUCAAUGAUGUCCUUAAGUUAUUUGGAAUUCUUAGUUCACUUUCACAUGUCAGAUCUAAGGAGCAUCUUAACCAACUUUAUGCACAGUAUAUAUUUGUAAAUGCUUUUGCAUAAAUGUUUAUACCUCACUAUUUCAAUAGACUUAAUUUUUUUAAAAAAAAUAUUAAGUCGUUUGCUAUUAUAAUACUCACUUCUCCAUGUAACCAACUCAAAAAUACUUUGGCCAUAAAAUACUGGUACUGAGGAAACCUCAUUCUUCUUUGCCAUCCCCUUUGCAUUCAGUUGGCAUUUAGUAUUGAUUAACAGAGCAGCCAGCUCAAUAACAUAGAGGUUCAAGGUGCAAUUUUGUCUCAGAAGAGUCAGAGAAGCUGUGUCCUGCUUACGGACAAACAUCUAAAUGUUUGAAAGUAUCUGAAUACUUGACUGUUGUAAAUUUCCACUUAAAUGUCUGGUUUUGUCAGACUCAGAUCUCCUCGUGGCUCUGGUCAUCCUGUUUUCAAAAUGAUUGUUGGCCAUAUCUCACAAAGUUCUCAUUAAGUAAGUUCAUAAAUAAACAGAGUUGUUUUUUUUUUUAAAGAGAAGCCAAGCACAAAGUGUGACUUUGUUGACAUUUUAUGAGACUUUGUCAUAUGUCCCUUACCCCUAAUAAAAGCAAUGUUGCAUCAACUGUGAA